AGAGUUUGAUCAUGGCUCAGAUUGAACGCUGGCGGAAUGCUUUACACAUGCAAGUCGAGCGGCAGCGCGGGGGCAACCUGGCGGCGAGCGGCGAACGGGUGAGUAAUACAUCGGAACGUGCCCAGUAGUGGGGGAUAGCCCGGCGAAAGCCGGAUUAAUACCGCAUACGACCUACGGGUGAAAGCAGGGGAUCGCAAGACCUUGCGCUAUUGGAGCGGCCGAUGUCAGAUUAGGUUGUUGGUGGGGUAAAAGCCUACCAAGCCGACGAUCUGUAGCUGGUCUGAGAGGACGACCAGCCACACUGGGACUGAGACACGGCCCAGACUCCUACGGGAGGCAGCAGUCGGGAAUUUUGGGCAAUGGGCGAAAGCCUGACCCAGCAACGCCGCGUGAAGGAUGAAGUAUUUCGGUAUGUAAACUUCGAAAGAAUAGGAAGAAUUAAUGACGGUACUAUUUAUAAGGUCCGGCUAACUACGUG
rnacentral:rRNA from 1 species